CCAGCACCUGUCCAGUGAAACAACUUGAUAAUCGUUUCGAGGGGCGUCCGCCGGGUUAGGAAGCCACUGCCUGGCAGCUUGUGGAAGCCUCAUUUGCAAAGCCACCCCUCAGAUGUUUUGAAGAUCGUGACGUCUUGUAACUAGCAGUGUGUGCACAGAAUCCUACUCAAGGAACGUCUUGGCCCAGCGAUGCAAAGAACUGAAGUUUCAAGGUUUUAUGUCUAUUGCUGGAUGGUCGGGGUAGCCCCAGUAACUGGGAACUGCUCCGCAGUCCGCUCACGUGGACCCCUGUGGGAAUAGCAAGCUGGAAGAGCCUGUAUUGUCCUCACAAUAGUAUAGAAGAAUUCAAGAGAGGAGAGAGAGACAGCACCGAAUGAAGACUGUAAAAGAAAAGAAGGAAUGCCAGAGAUUGAGAAAAUCUGCCAAGACUAGGAGGGUAACCCAGAGGAAACCGUCUUCAGGGCCUGUUUGCUGGCUAUGCCUUCGAGAACCUGGGGAUCCCGAAAAAUUAGGGGAAUUUCUUCAGAAAGACAAUAUCAGCGUGCAUUAUUUCUGUCUUGCUGGGUGCAGUGGCUCACGCCUGUAAUCCCAGCACUCUGGGAGGCCGAGGCAGGAGGAUCUCUUGAACCCAGGAGUUCAAGACCAGCCUGGGCAACCUUGUCUCUACA
rnacentral:lncRNA from 1 species